GAUGAACGCUAGCGACAGGCUUAACACAUGCAAGUCGAGGGGCAGCGAGGGCGUAGCAAUACGCCUGUCGGCGACCGGCGCACGGGUGAGUAACGCGUAUCCAACCUGCCCUUGUCCAUCGGAUAACCCGUCGAAAGGCGGACUAACACGAUAUGCAGUUCUCAGCAGGCAUCUAACGAGAACGAAAUGUGAAGGAGAAGGAUGGGGAUGCGUCUGAUUAGUUUGUUGGCGGGGUAACGGCCCACCAAGGCGACGAUCAGUAGGGGUUCUGAGAGGAAGGUCCCCCACAUUGGAACUGAGAUACGGCCCAGACUCCUACGGGAGGCAGCAGUGGGGAAUAUUGGGCAAUGGGCGAAAGCCUGACCCAGCAACGCCGCGUGAAGGAAGAAGGCCUUCGGGUUGUAAACUUCUUUUAAGAGGGACGAAGAAGUGACGGUACCUCUUGAAUAAGCCACGGCUAACUACGUG
rnacentral:rRNA from 1 species